ACGCUACUAACUACGUUACUGCGUCCAUCGCUAGCUAGUUAGUGGGCGGUUUCGAAUACAGCGUGUUCUUUGGUGUCCUUGUUUAUUAUAUUAGCCCAUUUAAAGACAAAGACAAGAAUACACGCAGUCAUUUUCCUUCUUUUUAAAAAAAAUAUUAACUCGUUUUCCCUGUUUCGUUUGCCAGUUGAAUUAUCGGGUGAUCACGGACCCUGCAGCUGGUCACGCAGGGGUUGAAAGCGCAGGUGGUUGCUGCUACAGUUUGUGUGGCCAACCGUAAGGUCUUCUGCCAACGAAAAUGUCUUGGAUUGUUCUGGAUAAUAAAUUAAUCGAAACCCCCACAUGGGGCGAAUGUUACGCCACCCAUGACACCGGCGGGCGGUCUCCAGGUGACACAUGGACGACAACGUUUAAGUCCGAGGUGGACGAUUCAGAGGAGAAAGAUCCUGUAGAGCCAAAGGAUGACGGAUGUCUUUCAGUUCCUUCGCCUCCCAAUUCCUCGUUCCCAUCCCCUGCAACAUCUUGGUCACCACCUCACAACGCUUCGUGGACCAGGUCUGUCACUCAAAAUCAGUGGAGAGCCAUCGAAGCUGCUGCAUCCCACCCGUACAAGACUAGAGGGCACCGUGGGUUCAGAGCACCCGUUUUCAUGCACCACAGGUGUGGCUGUUGCUGCUGCAAUUGUAGCCACAGGAGAUACCGACCGUGGAGAUACCGACCGUGGAGAUACCGACCGUGGAGAUACCGAGCAUGGAGAUUCAGAGCAUGGAGACGCAGGCCAACUAGAUGCACGCCGAGAGUAACAUCAUGGGAACACCUUCCUGUGACCAUCCAACCUACCAAGUGGUACCAGGUUGUCGGGAGAAUGCAGUGCAGCCAGUGCUAUGCCCAGGGAUGGCACUGUAUGACAUCUUGGAUGUGCCAGACCUGCCAGGUGCCCCUGUGCCUGUUGCCAUAUAGGAACUGCUACGCCGAGUGGCACGGUCAGAAAUGUUGAGCUCAGAGGGCGGAAGUUGCCUUUUGUGGGAGCGAAACGGCAGUGAAAGUUUACUCUCUAAUGAUGGGAUAAGUUCUUGUGUUAGUGCAACUUUAGUUAGCCUGUAGGCUUUUCCUGUUUAUCCGUUACUCUCAAAUUUGUGGGCAACUUGCAAGCUGCUGAGUAUUGUAAUGCAGAAUAUUGAUUUGGCGUUUACAUGAGAGACACCACUUGUUUUUACUUUCUCUGAGAAAAGUUAUUUUCUAAAGUUCCUGUGAAAAUUUUUUUGGAUGGUCAACAGUUGCACUCCUGUUAGUUGUAUAAUUCCCAUUGUAACUAUAUAUUUUAGGAAAACCUAUUUCUAUUGGAUUUUUCUGGUUCUGUUUCUAAGUAAAUUGCAGAAGUUAUA